CGUGGGGCAGCAGAGCAGGGUCUCAGUGGCUGGAAGGGGCUGGUCCCACUCCUUCCACUUUCUGCAUCUGGGCCAUGUGUCGCCCAGGCCCACCCCCUGUUCCUCUCCCAGCAUGCUGCCAAACAGCUGAUGGCGGCUGGUGGGAGGCACUGUGGGGGAGAGGGAUGAGCUGAUCGUCGCUGUGGUGGUGUGGCGUUUAGAUGUUGCUUGUAAUUAUUAGAACUGGGAGCACUGGCUGUUGGGAGUCUGAAAGGACAGGAAAGAGGAAGGAGGAAGGAGGAGUUGAAGAGGCAGAGUAAGAGUUACAGAGGGUGCAGCAGCAGCUUGGUAAAGAGGUUUCCACUUUAAAAAUAAAGUC